CCUACGGGAGGCAGCAGUGAGGAAUAUUGGUCAAUGGGAGAGAGCCUGAACCAGCCAAGCCGCGUGAGGGAAGACGGCCCUAUGGGUUGUAAACCUCUUUUGUCGGAGAACAAAACCCGGGAAGUGUCCCGGACUGCGUGUAUCCGAAGAAAAAGCAUCGGCUAACUCCGUGCCAGCAGCCGCGGUAAUACGUAGGUGGCGAGCGUUAUCCGGAAUCAUUGGGCGUAAAGGGGGAGCAGGCGGCCUGGUGGAUCUAUUGUUAAAAGGCAGUGGCUUAACCAUUGCAAGGCGAAGAAAGCGGCAGGCUAGAGUUCUAAAGAGGAUCGUGGAAUUCCAUGUGUAGCGGUGAAAUGCGUAGAUAUAUGGAGGAACACCAGUGGCGAAGGCGACGAUCUGGGAAGAAACAGACGCUGAGUCCCGAAAGCGUGGGGAGCAAAUAGGAUUAGAUACCCGGGUAGUC
rnacentral:rRNA from 1 species